rfam:Gossypium hirsutum cultivar TM-1 chromosome 19, whole genome shotgun sequence
UAAUAAAAAUUUCAUCAAUUUGUACAAUUAAAAACUGGCGAAGUUAAUGGGAUAACUAAAUAGUGACACUUGUAAUGCCACGUAUAUCUUAUGCUGACAUAAAGUGACUACUUUUGAACAAUAGAAAUUGAUGAAAUUUUUAACA